rnacentral:rRNA from 1 species
CCCUUAGAUGUCCGGGGCUGCACGCGCGCUACACUGAAUGAAUCAGCGUGCUAGAAAACCUUGUUUGACAUGGCUAGGUAACCCAUUGAAAAUCAUUCGUGAUUGGGAUCGGGACUUGCAAAUGUGUCCCUUGAACGAGGAAUUCCCAGUAAGUGCGGGUCAUCAGCUCGCGUUGAUUACGUCCCUGCCCUUUGUACACACCGCCCGUCGCUCCUACCGAUCGAAGAGUUAGGUGAAUUGUUUUGAUCGAUAAGAUUUGACUAUGGUCAACUCUCGUUGUGAAAUCCUGUGAAUCUGACUGUUUAGAGGAAGGAAAAGUCGUAACA